AAAAGAAAUAAAAAGAAUAAAUAAAUAAUGGAAACAGACGAUACUAUGAAAUUUUUGAUUCAUUUGGAAGAAUGCCAAUUAUUAAUUUUUCUCUCAGACCAUCAGAAGGGGAAGAAGAAGCAUUGGAGCAAGAGAGAAACAUCAUCAGAGAACAACAAGAAAAACUGGAGAGAGCUGCCAUAGAAUUCGACAAUAUAUAUAACAGUCAAAUGGAGAUUGCAAAUUGUUAAAAAAAGGAUGAUGAUG
rnacentral:lncRNA from 1 species